rnacentral:rRNA from 1 species
UACGUAGGGUGCAAGCGUUGUCCGGAAUUAUUGGGCGUAAAGAGCUCGUAGGCGGUUUGUUGCGUCGGCUGUGAAAUCCCGAGGCUCAACCUCGGGUCUGCAGUCGAUACGAGCAAACUAGAGUGUUGCAGGGGAGACUGGAAUUCCUGGUGUAGCGGUGAAAUGCGUAGAUAUCGUUUGGAACGCCAAUGGUGAAAACAGCUCGCUGGGGAUGUGCCGACGCUGAGAUACGAAAGCCAGGGGAGCGAACGGG